rnacentral:tRNA from 1 species
GCCCCCUUAGUUAAAUGGAUAUAACAAGUCCCUCCUAAGGACUGGUCAUCGGUUCGAUUCCGGUAGGGGGUGCCA